rnacentral:sRNA from 1 species
UGACACCAAAUAGAAGGCCGACCAGCGGU